UGUUUUUAUUACUAUAAUUGUUUCAGUUAUUUUAGUAGUGCCAUUCUUGAUAUUUAUCGAAUAGUCUGGAGUUCAUGAAUUAUUGAUGAUGCUCUUUAUGGAUGGUAGGCAACAGAUGAAUCUUUUGUUCAGAUGAGCUCUUUAGAGUUAUGCGAGACCCAACACGAUCUCUUGAGCUAUUAAAUAAUAUUACAACACUACAUCUCGACAUAGAUGGGUUCUUGCCUUUCAAGGCACCACUGCUGAGGUCCUCAAUUAAGGUAUAUUACUUACACCAAAGAAGAGGAUACACUACUUAGCCCAUUUGCUUUCGCUUGGUGAUUUGUCAUCAGUUUAUUGUGGACUCUAUAGCCUCGCCGCCUGCUCUCUCUCUACUGAAGUUGUAAUUGAUGAUAGAAUAUUAAAUAGUGGGGUAAGUUUGAUGGCCGAGCGCAACUCUUCUAUGUAUUAAUAGUUUUAAAACUAUUGAUUGGCAAGAAAGAAAGAAAAGUGUUUUACAUGAUGCAAAAAUGCAGACAAAAAUCUAACUAUCUAAGCUCAUAUUCAUCGAAUUUCUUUUCCAUUUA